ACCCAACUACCCAUAUCUGGGCGUGGAACGAUCGAACAGAGAGGAGAAAGAAAGGGGUGAAACCCUAAUUCAUGAGCAGACCUUCAAAUUGAAAGGGGAAUUGAAGCCUAGUUGAAUGCAUGAACUAAGAAUGAUGAUCCUCUAAGCAUACCCAACAUCAAGAACGUGUCAAGGAGAGGUCAAGCAUAGGAGGAUAACGGGUCAAGAUAAGGCAAGGUGACAAAUACACUUAUUGGAGUACUCGAGGUAAGUGAAUUUCGAUUCACUUUUUAGUAAGUUUAAUAGAUUUUAAUACUUAUGUUUACGAAACAUCAUGAAAGAACAUGUAAUAAUCAGAAGUACAAAGCCAAUAAUGCCUCAUUAUUGAAGAAGGUUGUAUUUAAGCCGAAAGUAAAUUGGUGGGUUUAAACGGGUCGAAUUUUAUGUGCAUAUGUUGCGUAAUGUAAUGAAAUUCGUUAUGGUUAUGACCUUGGGUAAGAAUUUUUAGUCAUUUAUGUAAGGGAAACAUUUCCCGGACCUUUAGGAACAAGUUUUAUACGAUUCGGUUGUCGGUUGGUGAAUGAACGGAUUGUUUCGUGUUAGUGUAGGAAAUUUUAUAAGUAUAUGUGUAUGGGAAUCCAAAAAGGCACGUGGGUUGAAUCAUAGAUUGUCUAUACUAUGUAAGGUUGUGAACGUGUCAUUCCGGCAUAAACCUACAUGUAAACGAAGCUUGUGUAUAUAUUCGUGAUUAAUUGAUUGUGCGUAGGAAGGAACAUUGGCAUGUAUGAAGGUACGCGUGUAUAUAUAUAAGUGUAUAUAUAUAUAUGUAUGUAUGUAUGUAUGUAUGUAUGUAUGUAUGAUAAUAAGUAUGUAGGUGUGAAUGUAUGUAUGAAUGAAUGUUCAAUGCUUAAGACAUAUGCAUGAACGUUAUCAAAGUGUUCGAGUAUUUAUGGUUACUAAUGAUGUGCGUUGAGUUGGAAUGUAAUGUAGGUAUGGGAUCGUUGGCUUCAUGAAGAAAUGGAGCUGGAUUUGGAUAAGAGUAUUUAAGAAAGCGCUUGGACAAUUCCACGACUACUUUAUAGAAUGCUCUACGAAAUUCUAUUAUAUAUUUUAAUGUUGUAUGGUAUGUUAAUGACUAAUGGUUUGGUUGUACGUGGUGUCCACAGGUAUCGCUUGGGUUUUCUCUACAUUUAUUGAAGUGAAUGCGGACUUAGUUCGAGUUUAGAGCAAGGAUUGUACGGGGAGAAUGGUCACAUAGUGUAACUCAUAUAGGUUUUGAAGUAUUAAUGUUAUAAAACGUUAUAAAUCCGUUUUAAUAAAUAUAUGGCAUUUCGCAUUUGAACCUUCAUGUGUUUGAUAUGUCUAUUAAAGAACGAAAUUUUUGGGCUCUUGUUUUCCGCUGCGUCGUAUUUUAAGUUAUUACACGUUAGCUUUACAGGGAAUUGUUCUUAUUACGAACGAGUCAUGCCCGAAUUUUGUUAAAUAAUAGUAUGAUAAUAUUACAUUUUGGAAUGUGUAAUUUGGGCGUAAAAAGUUGGUAUCAGAGCCCUGGUUUGAGGGAAAUCAAGUAUGAGGAGGCAAAUACUUGAACUCAAACCUGUGUGCUCUUGUGACGAGGAACCCGUACAAUCCAAGACUCGAUCAAGAUCUAAAGGUAGAAGCAAAUGUAACUAUGAAUUUAAGUAUGUUUAUGAAGAAACUAACAUUAUGUUGUGUGUAAGAUAAGCAUAGUUGUUUGGAUGAGGAUGAUCCACGACUGUGGUCUCGGACCGACACCAAGGCAUGUAAUAAGACCAUUGCCCAGGUACGUAAAUUUUGCAUAAGGGUGCAUGUAAUGCUAAAAGUUAUCGAGUGAAGGAAAAUUUUAAUGAAAUAUAAUAAUAUAAUGGAAACGAAGUUAUGAAAAUGUUACACGUGCCGAAACCUAAUUCUUCGGACAUAAGGUGACGAUUACACGAAGACACGAAACUAGUAUGUGGAUUGUGUACCUGGCCAGUACACAAGAAACAUAAGACGUUCGUGAGACCGUAAUGAUUGUUACAGGUAUGUCCGAUAGGAUUUGGUAGCGGUUGGGUGUGUGGGUGAAAUGGGUAGUAAGACUCUCGGGAGGUUGAGAGUACUAUGUAAGGGUGAAAGGUAUAAGUGAUAAGAAUGAAAUAUUGAGUCCAUAAGAAAGUAUGGAUUAACAAUGUAUGAAUGCAAUGUUUGAAUCCGUGAGGCGGAUUCAAGGAUGAAAGAUAUGAAUGCAAUGCCUGAGUCCGCAAGACGGAUUCAAGGAUGAAAGAUAUGAAUGCAAUGCUUGAGUCCGCCAGACGGAUUCAAGGAUGAAAGAUAUGAAUGCAAUGCUUGAGUCCGCAAGACGGAUUCAAGGAUGAAAGAUAUGAAUGCAAUGCUUGAGUCCGCAAGACGGAUUCAAGGAUGAAAGAUGUGAAUGCAAUGCUUGAAUCCGCGAAACGGAUUCAAAGAAUGAAAGAUACGAAUGAUGCAAAUCCCUUGCGGAUUUGGUUAUGCUAAAGAAGGUUAUGAUAAUCUAUGCAAAUCGACCGGUUCAAGUUGAACAAGUCGAGUAAGGAUAGGGUACCAUCCGUUUAGAACGGUUGGUCGUGAAUGCAAUAAUAAAUGUAUGAAGCUCAACCCGUUAUACGGAUAGAACGAAAUAUUUAUGUUGAACACAAUUAACUCGAUUUUACCGAGGCGUAAGUGGUAUGCUUGAAUCUCAUUAUGAGAAUAUAUGCCAUUACCCAUUUAAUUAGAUACUCGAGUGCGUAAAAGAAAUGAAAGUAUAUAAGCGAAUGGAACUAAAAUGUUGGUAUUGUAAGCGAAAUAAGUAUUAUGACUAACCUUUAAAACGGGAAGGGUAAGUAUUUGCAAGAAAACACUGGAACAGUGAAGCUAUGAGGCCAUAAGCAUGUUUGAAUUGAAAAAGAGUACAAACGUGUACUUCGAUACGCAUGUAUAUAAUAAGAAAUAAGUGGCAGUUGACCUUGAAAAGUCAAACUGCAGAAGCUGAGAAAUAAUUUGGUUUCAAACCAAGGGAGUGCUAGAGAAGAAAGGAAAUGUGUAGGGUAGUACACCAAAUGAGUUAAAGAAUUACGAAAUAAUGAUUAUGUGUUUACCCGUCAAGAAUGGGUCAAACAAUAAGAAUGAUAUAUAUAUAUAUAUUAAGAAAUGGUCAUGUAUUGACCCGUUAUGAAUAGGUUUAACACACUAGUGCUUUAAAAAGAAUCUUGGAAGUAGUAAUAUGUAAACAAGGAGAAGUAAUAAACAUCAUGUUUAAAUGAACUUGAAUGAAAUGUGAUAAUCCCCAAUCUUAUAAUGAGUAUGGCAGAUAUCAUAGUGUGAUAAACCUAUCAAGGUCAGUGGAAGAAUGUUCAUAAGCGAAAGCUCGUCACACGGAUGAAUGAGGUCAAUACGAAACAUGGUAUGGAUGGUGACGAAGAGGACCGACUCGUUGCUGCAUGUUCAAGUACCGCACCAAGGUAGUAAGGUUAGCAAAUUAUUUAAUAUAUGAAUGUACGAUGCUCGAAUCCCUCAAACCUACGCUCUCGUGAAAGUGUGUUCUAAGCGCCACGCAAGUAAGUGAUUUAAGGAUUUCGAGCUAUGCUUUUAGAUGAAAACGGAAAUGGGUUAUGGAUAAAUUACUAUUAUAACCUGGGUUGGGACGUUAUGGGAUGUUAUGGAAGGUUUCGGGACUGCCCGAGACCAUUUCAGGUUGGAAAAAGGACCCGGGAACAAAAAAUUUUGGUCAAACAGCGUCUGCACACCAGAGAGCCCGUCGGCGACGGCCUUUAUGCCGUCGGCGACGGCACCCAUCCACCCGACGCGCUAACUGUCUGUCUACGGGCAAUGUUCAGCGACGGGACCUUCCCGAGCCCGUCGGCGACGGCCCUUAUCUGCUUAUGCUGAAAUUGUUUGUUUAUUAGGCUAAGGUCCUUAAUUCAGUUCUAGCAUUCAUUAAACACUAAGAACACCCCAGAUUGAUUACGAAUCUAGGAAAUUCAAGACAACUAUCGUGUUUUAAUGAUGAAUGUGUGGGAAGUUAUGUAUGCGAACGAAUGAAAUAAGUAAUACAUCUAGAAUGUUUAUAAAGAAAGAUCGGGUAAGUUUAUAAAAAUUUUACACUAUCAUUGAAAAAGUACCUCCAUAUGAAUAGGUAUGGUAUGUUUAAUGUGUACGAAUGAACGAGAUUGUAUGCGGAAAUGAAUAAAUUAAUGAUGAUUAGGGAUUGGCUUUCGCAAAGAAAUUUAAAAUCUUGAUAAGUAUAAAUAAUAUGUCAAGAUGCUAGUUUUAAAUUAUGGACUAUGGGAUGUGUGAUUAGCCAAUUCCUCAUAACAUAUUUACGUAAGUCGUCCAAUGUAACUUGAAUGAGUGGACGAACGAAGAAUAAGAUUAGACGGGUUGUAGAAGAAAAGAAAGAGGUUUCGGGACGAAACCUUCUUUAAGGGGGGUAGAAUUGUAACGCCCCAAAAUUCAAAUUAUCUAGUUGUUAAUAUGUUAGCACGUUUAAAAAAAAAAAAGAAAAAAAGAAACAGAAUAACUAGGUUAUUAAACCUAGUUAAAAGUUUGGUUAAAAUAAAUAAGGAUAAGAAAUCUAGUUAUAUAAUGAAUAGGUUACAAACAUGAGGGGUGGUUUUUGAAUAAAUAGAAAGAUUAUAUAUAAAAAAAAAAAAACCCAACUACCCAUAUCUGGGCGUGGAACGAUCGAACAGAGAGGAGAAAGAAAGGGGUGAAACCCUAAUUCAUGAGCAGACCUUCAAAUUGAAAGGGGAAUUGAAGCCUAGUUGAAUGCAUGAACUAAGAAUGAUGAUCCUCUAAGCAUACCCAACAUCAAGAACGUGUCAAGGAGAGGUCAAGCAUAGGAGGAUAACGGGUCAAGAUAAGGCAAGGUGACAAAUACACU